AUACGUAGGGGGCGAGCGUUGUCCGGAAUGAUUGGGCGUAAAGGGCGCGUAGGCGGCGCGGUAAGUCUGGAGUGAAAGUCCUGCUUUCAAGGUGGGAAUUGCUUUGGAUACUGCCGCGCUUGAGUGCAGGAGAGGUUAUCGGAAUUCCCGGUGUAGCGGUGAAAUGCGUAGAGAUCGGGAGGAACACCAGUGGCGAAGGCGGGUAACGGGACUGCAACUGACGCUGAGGCGCGAAAGUGGGGGGAGCAAACAGGAUUAGAUCCCCUGGUAGUCCACGCCGUAAACGAUGUCAACUAGCCGUUGGGAACCUUGAGUUCUUAGUGGCGCAGCUAACGCACCAAGUUGACCGCCUGGGGAGUACGGUCGCAAGAUUAAAACUCAAAUGAAUUGACGGGG
rnacentral:rRNA from 1 species